AGGGGUGUGAGGAGCAACUUUGCAAAACCCCUUGAAGUCGAAACACGGACAGACGCUCAAGGGGUUUUGUUUU
rnacentral:sRNA from 1 species